CAGCUCCAGGACUGCAAGGAACCAGAAAUCACCAACAACCGAAGUGGUGGGAUGAAGCAUAGAAGACGAAGUGCAGAUGAUGUCAGGAAUGAAAAACCUCCUAUUGCUACCCCCUAUCCUCUAAGUGCAGAUGAUGCUAGGAAAGAAAAACCUGUUAUACCUUCUGCUCAUCCACAAAGCGCAGACUAUGCCAAGAAAGAAAAGCCCACUACUGCUAUUGCUUAUCCAAGGCCAUCAGCUUCCCCACUAUAUACCUAGUAGAAAAGGACAUGGAAGAACUUGGCAUAAACUGCUC
rnacentral:lncRNA from 1 species